GGGCCGCUCUUGCCCGCUCAUUCAAUAUUGCCGGUUUGAACGAAAUUGAUCAGUUCACCGGGAGCAUUGUAUGAUCGGGCUUCAGACCCU
ncrna:Pristionchus pacificus microRNA ppc-mir-2235a precursor (ppc-mir-2235a-5)